GACGAACGCUGGCGGCGUGCUUAACACAUGCAAGUCGAACGAUGAACUGGAGCUUGCUCCAGGGAUUAGUGGCGAACGGGUGAGUAACACGUGAGUAACCUGCCCUUGACUCUGGGAUAAGCGCUGGAAACGGCGUCUAAUACCGGAUACGAGCUUCAGCAGCAUGGCUAGGAGUUGGAAAGAAUUUCGGUCAAGGAUGGACUCGCGGCCUAUCAGCUAGUUGGUGAGGUAAUGGGUGACCCAGGCGACGACGGGUAGCCGGCCUGAGAGGGGGGACGGCCACACUAGGACUGAGACACGGCCCAGACUCCAACGGGAGGCAGCAGUGGGGAAUAUUGCACAAUGGGCGCACGCCUGAUGGAGCAACGCCGGGUGAGGGAUGACGGCCUUCGGGGUGUAAACCUCUUUUAGUAGGGAAGAAGCGAAAGUGACGGUACCUGCAGAAAAAGCACCGGCUAACUACGUGCCAGCCGCCGCGGUAA
rnacentral:rRNA from 1 species